rnacentral:rRNA from 1 species
GACGAACGCUGGCGGCGUGCCUAAUACAUGCAAGUAGAACGCUGAAGAGAGGAGCUUACUCUUCUUGGAUGAGUUGCGAACGGGUGAGUAACGCGUAGGUAACCUGCCUUGUAGCGGGGGAUAACUAUUGGAAACGAUAGCUAAUACCGCAUAACAAUGGAUGACACAUGUCAUUUAUUUGAAAGGGGCAAUUGCUCCACUACAAGAUGGACCUGCGUUGUAUUAGCUAGUAGGUGAGGUAAUGGCUCACCUAGGCGACGAUACAUAGCCGACCUGAGAGGGUGAUCGGCCACACUGGGACUGAGACACGGCCCAGACUCCUACGGGAGGCAGCGGUAGGGAAUCUUCGGCAAUGGGGGCAACCCUGACCGAGCAACGCCGCGUGAGUGAAGAAGGUUUUCGGAUCGUAAAGCUCUGUUGUAAGUCAAGAACGGGUGUGAGAGUGGAAAGUUCACACUGUGACGGUAGCUUACCAGAAAGGGACGGCUAACUACGUG